GGUAUUCCAUCUGAACUUGGUCAGUUGAAUUCUCUUACAGUUUUAGAUCUGUCUCAUAAUGCCAUAACAGGAACCAUCCCUGAAAGUUUGACAAAUGCCCAAAAUCUUGAAAUCGUGUUACUCAACAACAAUGCGCUUUCUGGGGAGAUACCAUCAUCUUUCUCAACCCUUUCCAAUCUUUCCAUGUUAGAUGUUUCUUUCAAUCACCUUUCAGGUCAUAUACCCC
rnacentral:misc_RNA from 1 species